ACGGGAGGCAGCAGUAGGGAAUCUUCCGCAAUGGGCGAAAGCCUGACGGAGCAACGCCGCGUGAGUGAUGAAGGUCUUCGGAUCGUAAAACUCUGUUAUUAGGGAAGAACAAACGUGUAAGUAACUGUGCACGUCUUGACGGUACCUAAUCAGAAAGCCACGGCUAACUACGUGCCAGCAGCCGCGGUAAUACGUAGGUGGCAAGCGUUAUCCGGAAUUAUUGGGCGUAAAGCGCGCGUAGGCGGUUUUUUAAGUCUGAUGUGAAAGCCCACGGCUCAACCGUGGAGGGCAUUGGAAACUGGAAACUUGAGUGCAGAAGAGGAAGUGGAAUCCAUGUGUAGCGGUGAAUGCGCAGAGAUAUGGAGGAACACCAGUGGCGAAGCGACUUUCUGGUCUGUACUGACGCUGAUGUGCG
rnacentral:rRNA from 1 species